rnacentral:rRNA from 1 species
UCAAGCGAAGAAGAGCGCAGGGUGGAUGCCUUGGCACUAAGAGCCGAUGAAAGACGUGAUAAGCUGCGAAAAGCUUCGGGGAGGAGCAAAUAUCCGAUGAUCCGGAGAUAUCUGAAUGGGGAAACCCGGCUGGACAGACUCCAGUCAUCCAUACGCCAAUCCAUAACGUAUGGAAGGGAACCCGGUGAACUGAAACAUCUAAGUAGCCGGAGGAAGAGAAAGAAAAAUCGAUUUCCAAAGUAGCGGCGAGCGAAAUGGAAAGAGCCCAAACCGGAGUGCGUGCAUUCCGGGGUUCGGACCGCAUAAUUGAUUCAGUAAAUCCAGCAGAACUGUUUUGGGAAAGCAGACCAGAGAGGGUGAAAGUCCCGUAAGCGAAAGAAGAACUGACAUGGCGGUAUCCAGAGUACAUCGAGACACGAGAAACCUUGAUGGAAUAAGCGGGGACCACCCCGUAAGGCUAAAUACUACUUAGUGACCGAUAGCGCAUAGUACUGUGAAGGAAAGGUGAAAAGGACCCCGGGAGGGGAGUGAAAGAGAACCUGAAACCCUGUGUUUACAAGCUGUGGAAGCACUUUAUAUGUGCGACCGCGUACUUUUUGUAGAACGGUCCGGCGAGUUACGCUUGCUGGCGAGGUUAAGGACUUAAGGUCCGGAGCCGAAGGGAAACCAAGUCUUAACAGGGCGGUUAUAGUCAGUAGGAGUAGACCCGAAACCGGGUGAUCUAUCCAUGUCCAGGUUGAAGAUGCCGUAAAAGGCGUUGGAGGACCGAACCCACAUCCGUUGAAAAGGGUGGGGAUGAGGUGUGGAUAGGGGAGAAAUUCCAAUCGAACCCGGAGAUAGCUGGUUCUCCUCGAAAUAGCUUUAGGGCUAGCCUCGUUUUAGUCUUAUGGAGGUAGAGCACUGAAUUUCCGCGGGGGCGUCAAAGCUUACCAAAGAAUAUCAAACUCCGAAUGCCAUUAAGAUGAUGAACGGGAGUCAGACUGUACGAGAUAAGUUGGACAGUCAAAAGGGAAAGAGCCCAGACCACCAGCUAAGGUCCCAAAGUGUGUGUUAAGUGGAAAAGGAUGUGGGAUUUCAAAGACAACUAGGAUGUUGGCUCAGAAGCAGCCAUACAUUCAAAGAGUGCGUAACAGCUCACUAGUCGAGAGUUCCUGCGCCGAAAAUGUCCGGGGCUGAAACACGACACCGAAGCCGUGGACUCGCAAUGCGAGUGGUAGAGGAGCAUUCUUAAAACCGACGAAGCUGUACCGGAAGGAGCAGUGGAGGGAUAAGAAGAGAGAAUGCCGGAAUGAGUAGCGAGAGGAAGGUGAGAAUCCUUCCGGCCGAAUAUCCAAGGAUUCCAGGGUAAAGCUGAUCUGCCCUGGGUAAGUCGGGACCUAAGGAGAGGCCGAGAGGCGUAUCCGAUGGACAACAGGUUUAGAUUCCUGUACCACAUAUGGUCAGAACUGUGGGGACGCAGAAGGAAAGCAUGAGCCAGGAAUGGAAAGACUGGUACAAGCAGAGGGGAUGGUGUGCUGGCAAAUCCGCACACGAAAGUCCUUGCUGUGAUGUGGAGCGAACCAAAGUAGCGAAGCAUGCGGACCGGCUGCCGAGAAAAGCCGCUAUUGUGCCAUAUGUGCCCGUACCGUAAACCGACACAGGUGGAUGAGGAGAGAAUCCUAAGGCCGACGGAAGAAGUAUUGUUAAGGAACUCGGCAAAAUGACCCCGUAACUUCGGGAGAAGGGGUGCCUGCGAGAGCAGGCCGCAGAGAAUAGGCUCAAGCAACUGUUUAGCAAAAACACAGGUCUAUGCAAAACCGAAAGGUGAAGUAUAUGGGCUGACGCCUGCCCGGUGCUGGAAGGUUAAGAGGAGAGGUUAGCGCAAGCGAAGCUUUGAAUUUAAGCCCCAGUAAACGGCGGCCGUAACUAUAACGGUCCUAAGGUAGCGAAAUUCCUUGUCGGGU